UAUGAGCACAGUUUUUUUUGGGUGCUCCGCCAGUCGAGAAUUUAACGGCAUGGAGGUCCAAUCCGUUGUAGGAGUGGCCGAUGAGAGAAACAGUCACGUACGGACUGUUGAGAUUGUUCAGCCAAGUUUCAAUCUACAUUUUGGUUUUCCUAUUGGACUUUGCGUAGCAAAACUUGUUCAUAAGUUGGAAAGAUUUGAAACCUGGGGGCCAUAUUGGCCAAUUGUUGUACCAAAAUUAGGUGCAAAAUAAUAAGGAACCUUACUAACCUCGGCAAAUCGUGGAUAUCUGUCCCAAGAGAUGCGUCCGCUGCCAGCCUUCAGAUAUGUACGUCUCGAAAUCCGCAAUCUUGAUGAUGUACUUCAUUUUAGCGUUGUUUGAAAUGGUGACGAUGCCCUUGAUUUGUUCGGGGGCAACCAUAACAUCAGUGUAACCAAGGACGGACGGGGUGGUCCAGAAGUCAUAGUCACCACUGAGGUAGAGAUCCCGCAAGAGUUCUAAUUGACCUGGAGUGGUGGCCUCAAUCGAGAAGACUUGGUAGCUGAGAAAGUUUAAAUUGUAAAAAUAUUUCUAGAUUUUCAUUUAAGAUAAAGUUGUUUUAUAGCAUAUAUAGUCUUUGCCAAAGAUAUGUAUGUGAAUAUUUAUAAGGAUGAUUAUGUUUUAUAUUCUGGUCGCUGUGCAGCUGGAGCUUUUAGUGAAAAGGCAAUACUUUGCCAAAGUUUUCCUAGUAAAGCUGAGGCCAAAGUCUGCUAACUCACUAAUAAGCUACACUCGCACAGCACCUAACUAAAUCACUUAGAGUACAGUCACACUCGAUGUAAAUUUUACCUAUGCAAGUUUGUAAGUGAAUAAACCGUUACAACGCAUGUAA